rnacentral:rRNA from 1 species
ACGGCUCAGUAACACGUAGUCAACCUACCCUAUGGACGAGGAAUAAUCUCGGGAAACUGAGCAUAAUACUCGAUAGAUCAUAAUGCCUGGAAUGGUUUAUGGUUGAAAUGAUUCGUCGCCAUAGGAUGGGACUGCGGCCUAUCAGCUUGUUGGUGAGGUAAUGGCCCACCAAGGCGAUUACAGGUACGGGCUCUGAGAGGAGAAGCCCGGAGAUGGGUACUGAGACACGGACCCAGGCCCUAUGGGGCGCAGCAGGCGAGAAAACUUUGCAAUGUGCGAAAGCACGACAAGGUUAAUCCGAGUGAUUUGUACUAAACGAAUCUUUUGUUAGUCCUAGAAACACUAACGAAUAAGGGGUGGGCAAGUUCUGGUGUCAGCCGCCGCGGUAAAACCAGCACCUCAAGUGGUCAGGAUGAUUAUUGGGCCUAAAGCAUCCGUAGCCGGCUCUGUAAGUUUUCGGUUAAAUCUGUACGCUUAACGUACAGGCUGCCGGGAAUACUGCAAAGCUAGGGAGUGGGAGAGGUAGACGGUACUCGGUAGGAAGUGGUAAAAUGCUUUGAUCUAUCGAUGACCACCUGUGGCGAAGGCGGUCUACCAGAACACGUCCGACGGUGAGGGAUGAAAGCUGGGGGAGCAAACCGGAUUAGAUACCCGGGUAGUCCCAGCUGUAAACUAUGCAAACUCAGUGAUGCAUUGGCUUGUGGCCAAUGCAGUGCUGCAGGGAAGCCGUUAAGUUUGCCGCCUGGGAAGUACGUACGCAAGUAUGAAACUUAAAGGAAUUGGCGGGGGAGCA